rnacentral:rRNA from 1 species
ACCAUGCAGUCGAGCGGUAAGGCCUUUCGGGGUACACGAGCGGCGAACGGGUGAGUAACACGUGGGUGAUCUGCCCUGCACUUCGGGAUAAGCCUGGGAAACUGGGUCUAAUACCGGAUAUGACCUCAGGUUGCAUGACUUGGGGUGGAAAGAUUUAUCGGUGCAGGAUGGGCCCGCGGCCUAUCAGCUUGUUGGUGGGGUAAUGGCCUACCAAGGCGACGACGGGUAGCCGACCUGAGAGGGUGACCGGCCACACUGGGACUGAGACACGGCCCAAACUCCUACGGGAGGCAGCAGUGGGGAAUAUUGCAC